UGUGAUAAAAUAAUACAUGCACUUGUGAAUCAAUCAGAGGUUUUCCUUUGCAGGAUACUGAUAUAAUGUGGCUUAGAGAUCCCUUCAAGCGAUUUUAAAAGCACACAGAUUUCCAAAUAGCUUGUGAUUAUUUCAAUGGCAAUUCCUAUGACUUAAACAACUUUCCAAAUGGAGGGUUUAAUUAUGUGAAAUCGAAUAGCAGAACUAUUAGGUUCUACAAGUUCUGGUUCAACUCUAGGAGUUCCUACCCCAAGUUGCAUGACCAGGAUGUCCUGAACAAGAUAAAAAAGGAUUCCUUCAUCUCCAACAUGAAACUGAGCAUUAGGUUCCUUAGCACUGAUUAUUUUGGCGGAUUUUGUCAUCAUGCAGAGGACUUCAACGAGGUCUUAACAAUGCAUGCCAAUUGCUGUGUUGGUUUAGAAAACAAAGUCAGUGAUCUCAAAAUUUUGCUUGAGGAUUGGAAGAAGUAUGUGGCAUUGCCUGAAAAUAAGAAAAAGCAGUUUCAUCCUUCUUGGAGCAUAAGCUGCAGCACGUCGUUUCAACGUGCCAAAGAAAGGAAGCAGAAGAAGAAUAAUAAAGGGAGGAAGUUGUGACAGACUCUGGCUGUAACUGUUGAUUCAUGUACAAAAAGGUUAUUUGAGAAUGAUUGACUCAAAUUUGGGGUCACAGAUUAAGGUUGCCAAACCAGUUAUCUUGCAACAAAAAAGAACUGUGGAGAACAGAA